UACGAAGGGUGCAAGCGUUACUCGGAAUUACUGGGCGUAAAGCGUGCGUAGGUGGUUUGUUAAGUCUGUUGUGAAAGCCCCGGCUCAACCUGGGAAUGGCAAUGGACUACUGGCAAGCUAGAGUGCGGUAGAGGGUGAGUGGAAUUCCCGGUGUAGCGGUGAAAUGCGUAGAGAUCGGGAGGAACACCAGUGGCGAAGGCG
rnacentral:rRNA from 1 species